AGCAAAAUUACUGGAUCAUAUGGUAAUUCUUUUUAACUUUUUGAGGAACUAUUAGAUUGUUUUCCAAAGGGGCUAUCCCAUUGUAAAUUUCUGUCAGCAGU
rnacentral:pre_miRNA from 1 species